UUUCCGUAGGUGAACCUGCGGAAGGAUCAUUACAAAAGUUUAACGCUUUGGGAACGGACUCGCUUCUAAUCAGAAGCUCGAGACCUGACCCUUUGCGGAACAAAACUUUCAACCACUUGUGAAUUUGUAAUUUUUUUUACCAAUUGACUGUUAACGAAGUCUGAUUCAACAUAUUAUUGGUGUUUAAAGACACUAGUUAAAUUUUGAAACAACUUUUGGCAACGGAUCUCUUGGCUCUCGCAUCGAUGAAGAACGCAGC
rnacentral:misc_RNA from 1 species